CUUGGUCAUUUAGAGGAAGUAAAAGUCGUAACAAGGUUUCCGUAGGUGAACCUGCGGAAGGAUCAUUAAUAAAUGUUUCCAAACUCACUAUGUCAACUGUUAUCAAAACCUGGUGAUGUUCCGUGGUAACUUCUACACUGUAGUCGUUACUCGGGCUCAUCCUUUUUAAACUUGUAUAAACUUGAAUCUGGGCCUUUAUAUCAAUAUAAAGACAACUUUUAGCAACGGAUCUCUAGGCUCUUGCAACGAUGAAGAACGCAGCAAAAUGCGAUAAGUAAUGUGAAUUGCAGAAACCGUGAAUCAUCAAAUCUUUGAACGCACAUUGCACUGCCUGGAAUUCCGGGCAGUAUGGCUAUUUGAGUAUCAGUAUCCUCUUACCAAAAACUUUAUUGUUGAUGGUAGAUUUGGGCUUUGCCACUUAUGAACUGGCUGGCCUGUAACUGAUUGUAUGCACCAUUUUUGCGCUUACAGAGAUAACUCUGGUUUUCCAGUGUAAUCUGUUUCCGUGAGAAUCGUGUAUUAAAACUAUCGAGGGCUCGACCCUUUGCAUUGAUCUCAAAUUAGGCAAGAUUACCCGCUGAACUUAAGCAUAUCAAUAAGCGGAGGA
rnacentral:rRNA from 1 species